rnacentral:rRNA from 1 species
AUUGAACACUGGCGGCAUGCCUUACACAUGCAAGUCGAACGGUAACAGGUCUUCGGAUGCUGACGAGUGGCGAACGGGUGAGUAAUACAUCGGAACGUGCCUAGUAGUAGGGGAUAACUACUCGAAAGAGUGGCUAAUACCGCAUGAGAUCUACGGAUGAAAGCAGGGGAUCGCAAGAACUUGUGCUACUAGAGCGGCAGAUGGCAGAUUAGGUAGUUGGUGGGAUAAAAGCUUACCAAGCCGACGAUCUGUAGCUGGUCUGAGAGGACGAUCAGCCACACUGGGACUGAGACACGGCCCAGACUCCUACGGGAGGCAGCAGUGGGGAAUUUUGGACAAUGGGCGCAAGCCUGAUCCAGCAAUGCCGCGUGCAGGAUGAAGGCCUUCGGGUUGUAAACUGCUUUUGUACGGAACGAAAAGCCCUGGGUUAAUACCCUGGGGUCAUGACGGUACCGUAAGAAUAAGCACCGGCUAACUACGUGCCAGCAGCCGCGGUAACAC